GUAGGCGGCGAUAGCGCGGUGGUCCCACCUGACCCCAUGCCGAACUCAGAAGUGAAACGCCGUAGCGCCGAUGGUAGUGUGGGGCUUCCCCAUGUGAGAGUAGGGAACUGCCAGGC
rnacentral:rRNA from 1 species